rnacentral:rRNA from 1 species
AGUGAACGCUGGCGGUAGGCCUAACACAUGCAAGUGGAACGGCAGCACCGUAAGAGCUUGCUCUUACGGGUGGCGAGUGGCGGAUGUGUGAGAAAUACAUCCGAAUAUACUUUUUCGUGGGCGAUAACGGAGGGAAACUUACGCUAAUACCGCAUACGACCUACUGAUCAAAGGAGAGGAUCUUCGGACCUUGCGCGAUUGAAUGAGCCGAUGUCGGAUUAGCUAGUUGGCGGGGUAAAGGCCCACCAAGGCGACGAUCCGUAGCUGGUCUGAGAGGAUGAUCAGCCACACUGGAACUGAGACACGGUCCAGACUCCUACGGGAGGCCGCAGUCGGGACUAUUCGCUAAUGGGCUCAAGUUUGAUCCAGCCAUACCGUGUGCGUGCAGGAAGCGUUCGGGUUGUAAAGAGCUUUUGUUGGGAAAGAAACGCAGCAGGUUAAGACGCUGCUGUUCUGACGGUACCAAAAGAAUAAGCACCGCCUGACUUGGUG